AGAGAAUAGACUACCCAGGUAGUCCACGCCGUAAACGAUGAAUGCUAGUUGUAAUCAGUAUCGAACCCUGGUUGUAAACGAAAGCUAACGCGUUAAGCAUUCCGCCUGUGGAGUACGAGCGCAAGCUUAAAACAUAAAGGAAUUGACGGGGACCCGCACAAGCGGUGGAGCGUGUUGUUUAAUUCGACGAUAAACGAAGAACCUUACCAAGGUUUGACAUCCUACUAAUCCCAGCGAAAAGCCGGGAGUGCCUUCGGGCCGUAGAGACAGGUGUUGCAUGGCCGUCGUCAGCCGUGUCGU
rnacentral:rRNA from 1 species